GACUGGGUGGCUCAGUCAGUUGAGCAUCUGACUUUAGCUCAGGUCAUGAUCUCACAGUUCGUGGGUUCGAGCCCCGCAUCGGGCU
rnacentral:tRNA from 1 species